rnacentral:rRNA from 1 species
UACGGAGGGAGCUAGCGUUAUUCGGAAUUACUGGGCGUAAAGCGCACGUAGGCGGCUUUGUAAGUAAGAGGUGAAAGCCCGGAGCUCAACUCCGGAACUGCCUUUAGACUGCAUCGCUUGAAUCCAGGAGAGGUGAGUGGAAUUCCGAGUGUAGCGGUGGAAUGCGCAGAUAUCAGGAGGAACACCAAUAGCGAAGGCAGCUCGCUGGGACGUUACUGACACUGAGGCGCGAAAGCGUGGGGAGCGAACAGG